rnacentral:tRNA from 1 species
UGUAGCUCAGCUGGGAGAGCGCAUCGCUGGCAGCGAUGAGGUCAGGGGUUCGAUCCCCCUCAGCUCCACCA